rnacentral:lncRNA from 1 species
CGACAGAUACCUCGUGGCUGCCUCCCAUCAAGAUAAUAGCGCAGAGCACCUCUCUGUUUAAAUACUGUACUUUAUUCUCUUGAUGGUGCUUAUCCACGAGAGUCCUUUAUUUGUUUGCGAGUAUAAACUCCAAGAAGACAAGGUCUACAUCUUGUUAUCUGCCAUGGGUAUGGGGUUGAGAGAAGGACUUGGCGCAAAGCAGAAUUGCAAUGCAUCUUUACGGAGUGAAUGAAUGAAAGAAAUGCGUAAAUGAAAGAAAACCGACUGUUUCCAUUCCCACUUUCAGGGGUGCUUCCCUGGUCCUCCUCUGGAAUUUGGGUCUCUCACUGCAGCUGUGAAGGCCUCCAUGCAUGUCUGUGCUCACAGCUCUGUAUGGAGGGAAGAAACAUGGAAUGAUCACAUGAGUUGCCCCUCUGUCCUUCCUGCUGGCAGAGGCCUGGCUAGACAGUCUUUGGCAGCAGAAGGCUCUUCAGGUUGUCUGAACUAUCUGCCUGCCUGUGACACAUACAUGCUAUUUAGUUCCGGAUCAGGUGUUGGGAGGCCUCAGUUGGUUUCUCAGAGCUCAGCUCUGCCUGAGAAAGGAAUGGGAAGGGCUUCGAUGGAUGGCAGGGACCGCACAUCCCGCUUCACCUCCCUUGCCCACUUCCGCUCUGCCGGAGGCAGCCCAGCCAAGGACAGUGCACAGGGUCAAGUUUCUCCUUGCAGAUUGCUCUGCGGUGACUGGAGGGGAGUCUGAG